UACGGAGGAUGCAAGCGUUAUCCGGAUUCAUUGGGUUUAAAGGGUGCGUAGGCGGGCUAUUAAGUCAGUGGUGAAAUCCUACAGCUUAACUGCAGAACUGCCGUUGAUACUGAUAGUCUUGAGUUUGGUUAAGGUAGGCGGAAUGUGUAAUGUAGCGGUGAAAUGCUUAGAUAUUACACAGAACACCAAUUGCGUAGGCAGCUUACUGAGCCGACACUGACGCUGAGGCACGAAAGCGUGGGGAUCAAACAGGAUUA
rnacentral:rRNA from 1 species